rnacentral:rRNA from 1 species
AUUGAACGCUGGCGGCAGGCCUAACACAUGCAAGUCGAACGAGUGGCGGACGGGUGAGUAAUGUCUGGGAAACUGCCUGAUGGAGGGGGAUAACUACUGGAAACGGUAGCUAAUACCGCAUACCAUCAGAUGUGCCCAGAUGGGAUUAGCUUGUUGGUGGGGUAACGGCUCACCAAGGCGACGAUCCCUAGCUGGUAUGAGAGGAGGACACGCCACACGUGAACUGAGAUACGGUCCAGACGCCUACGGGAGGCAGCAGUGGGGAAUAUUGCACAAUGGGCGAAAGCCUGAUGCAGCCAUGCCGCGGGUAUGAAGAAGGCCGUCGGGUUGUAAAGUACUUUCAGCGGGGAGGCGUUAACCGCAGAAGAAGCACCGGCUAACUCCGUGCCAGCAGCCGCGGUAAUUC